UUUUGAGUGGUAUAUUUGAUUUCAAGUCCCCCUUGAAGCAUUGUAAUUCGUAAAAAUCACAAAAUCAAGAGAUAACAG